GGAUGCGAUCAUACCAGCACUAAUGCACCGGAUCCCAUCAGAACUCCGAAGUUAAGCGUGCUUGGCGAGAGUAGUACUAGGAUGGGUGACCCCUGGGAAGUCCUCGUGUUGCAUCCC
rfam:Ipomoea nil DNA, scaffold: scaffold1350, cultivar: Tokyo-kokei standard.